GGCGGACGGGUGAGGAAUACAUCGGAAUCUACUCUGUCGUGGGGGAUAACGUAGGGAAACUUACGCUAAUACCGCAUACGACCUACGGGUGAAAGCAGGGACCUUCGGGCCUUGCGCGAUUGAAUGAGCCGAUGUCGGAUUAGCUAGUUGGCGGGGUAAAGGCCCACCAAGGCGACGAUCCGUAGCUGGUCUGAGAGGAUGAUCAGCCACACUGGAACUGAGACACGGUCCAGACUCCUACGGGAGGCAGCAGUG
rnacentral:rRNA from 1 species